UUGUCGGUAGUGUAGUGGACUACCGAGGUUUUUACGGGUGACGGGGGAUCAGGGUUCGAUUCCGGAGAGGGAGCCUGAGAAACGGCUACCACAUCCAAGGAAGGCAGCAGGCGCGCAAAUUACCCAAUCCAGACAAUGGGAGGUGGUGACGAAAAGUACCAGAUGACGGUCAAAGACUGUCAAUCUGGAAUGGAAUCAAUUUAAGCAAUUGAUUGAGGAACGACUAGAGGGCAAGUCUGGUGCCAGCAGCCGCGGUAAUUCCAGCUCUAGUAGCGUAUCCCAAAGUUGCUGCGCUUAAAACGCUCGUAGUUGGAUCACAAACUAUAUUCGAGUUGGUGUGGUGCUGUAUCAAAUUUAAAGAUUUUCCGGGGUGUCAUCACUUCGGUAAUGAUUUAUGUGGUGCAGUGUUGCUACCGUAAGCUAGUGUAUAGUAAUUGCACGUGAGGAUAGACAUUCGCCUUGAAUGAGUAGAUGUUUGUGUCUCACGGAGUGUGCCUUGAAUAAAUCAAAGUGCUUAAAGCAGGCUUUACGCUUGAAUGUUAAAGCAUGGAACGAACAAUCGUGUAGGGUGCAUGUUGAUUUAUGGGUGCAGGGCCUAGCCAGGCAUUCAUCAACAUGUGACACCGACCACCAAUAACGGAUGUUGGUUCCGUAUUGGGGUAUUGAUUAAGAGGAGCGGUUGGGGGCAUUGGUAUUUGGCAGCGAGAGGUGAAAUUCUUGGACCUGUCAAGGACUAACAAAUGCGAAGGCAUCUGUCCAGACCGUAUCCAUUAAUCAAGAACGAUAGUGAGAGGUUCGAAGACGAUCAGAUACCGUCCUAGUUCUCACUGUAAACUAUGCC
rnacentral:rRNA from 1 species